rnacentral:rRNA from 1 species
GAUGAACGCUAGCGGCAGGCUUAGCACAUGCAAGUCGAGGGGCAGCGCGGGAUAGCAAUAUCCUGGCGGCGACCGGCGGAAGGGUGCGUAACGCGUGAGCGACAUGCCCGUUGCCCGGGGACAACCGGUGGAAACGCCGACUAAUCCCCGAUGGGAUAUUGUGCCGCAUGGCACGAUAUUGAAAGUUACGGCGGCGACGGAUUGGCUCGCGUCCGAUUAGCUGGUUGGCGGGGUAACGGCCCACCAAGGCUGCGAUCGGUAGGGGUUCUGAGAGGAAGGCCCCCCACAAUGGGACUGAGACACGGCCCAUACUCCUACGGGAGGCAGCAGUGAGGAAUAUUGGUCGAUGGGCGGAAGCCUGAACCAGCCAUGCCGCGUGCGGGAAGGAGGCCCUAUGGGCUGUGAACCGCUUUUGCCUGGGGGCAAUAAGGGCGUCGCGCACGUCCGAUGAGAGUACCAGGCGAAUAAGCAUCGGCUAACUCCGUG